ensembl:snRNA U6 U6 spliceosomal RNA
GUGCUUGCUUCGACAGCACAUAUACUAAAACUGGAAUGAUACAAAGAAGAUUAGCAUGACCCCUGCUGAAGGAUGACACGCAAAUUCAUAAAGCAUUCAAUUUUUUU